AAAUGUACCUUAGUUUGUUUUGAAAUUGUAUAUUUUUCAGUGUUGAAAUUUUCUGGGUUUUUUCCCAAUACUUUUCAGUUUUAAUUUUAUUUUUGAUAGUAUAUUAAUCUGCUGCUUCUCCUUGGGUUUUGACUUUGAUACUUUUCUGAUGCUCAUUUUUGUUGACAUUAGUUGACUUGGACUUCUAGAAGAAGGCCCAGUGUAGAUAGCUUUUCUCUUUUCCCAGAGCUUCUUCCUCCUCUUGGUGUUUGCAUGUAGUGUUAAAAAUAUGGCCCCUUGAUUUCUGUGGUUAGCAGGCAGCAUAUCUGGUCACUUUAUAUGACUUCAUCUUUCUUUCAUUUUCUGUUGUCUCUGUUCUGCUCACAUUGGAUGUCACUUCCACUAGCUUCUCCUCAUUAUGGGGCCUUGUGCCAGAAGGGUGCCUUGGCAGGUCAGUUGUGAGGGUUCACAGAGGCUUGACUUCAUCAUGGGGCUCUGGUUUGGAGUGGCCAGAACCCCUGCAGUUUUAGCCACAUUCUCAAAGUGGCCCCCACACUUAGCAGUGAAUGUCUGUUGGUUAUUAGGGGAGUUUUCCUAUUUUCAGGUUAAGUCAAAGGCUGGUUGCAUUCCUCUAGUUUUUCCAUAACAUGCUGAUAAUAGACAGGUCUUGUGUCUCUUGGUUGAUUGUCCACAUCUGUGUGUAUUUUGGACUUGCUAGGGAUACCUUACUCCUCAUUUUUGUGUAAAUACUAUUAUUGGGUUUCUGAUUUUGCUCUGUCAUUGUUCUGUUGUUUUAAUGCUUUAGAAAUUUAGAGAGAUCCAUAAGUGAUGUUGCUAUUACUACCACCAUUUUGAGAAUUUUCAAGAUUCGUUCAUUUUGUAUGUACCAGUAGUCAUUACUCUUUGUUGCUGAGUUGUAUUCCAUGUUAUGAAUGCCACAGUUUACUUAUCCAUUCACCAGUUGAUGGACACUUUAUAAAAAGUUUUUGGGAAUCACAAGUAGAGGUAUAAAUGAGCAUUCAUGUACAGGUUUUUGUGUAGCCAUGUGUGUUCUUCUCUCUCAGGGAAAUGUCUAGGAGUAGCAUGGAAGGGUCAUGUGGCUUUCUUGUCUUUCUGUCAUUGAGCUGUGAAAGUUCAUGAAAGUUCUUUGUGUGUUCUGGUCACCAGUCCUGUAUCGUGUACCUAUUUUGCAGAUAUUUUCUCCUAGCUUGCAUUUUGUGUUUUCACAUUAUUAAUAAGGUUUUUCAAAGAGCAGGCAUUCUUAUCUUGGAGGAAGUUCUUUUUAUUUUUUUUAUGACUUGUACUCUGUGUCCUAUGAAAUCCUUGCUUAACCCAGAUCACAAAGAUUUUCUCAUAUCUCCUUCUAUAAGUUUUAUAGUUUUAGGUCUGAUUCCUUUUGGGUUAAUUUUUGGUGUAAGAAUGGAUUGAGGUUCCUUGUGUGUGUAUGCGUAUGGAUAUCUAGUUGUUUCUGCACCAGUUGUUGGGAAGUAAUUUGUUAUCUGUUGAAUUGCCUUGGAUCCUUUCUUGAAAACCAUUUGGCCAUAUAUGUGUGGAGAGGUUAUCUUUGAUAAGUUUAUUUCUGCAUUACUACGGGAGAAUUCCAGUAGAAUACAAGUUGAUUCCUGGAUUUGGUGGUUGCUUGGAAGGAAUUCUCAGUUGAUGGCUUCUGAAUGAAGUGUAAUUCAGAGGGAUGAGUAAAGUGAAGUUAAUGGGUAGUGAGAAUCAGAAGUUUAAGGAGAAAGGAGAAGGUAUGAAAGAGGUGUUUCAGAAAGGAGAGCAAGCAGGCUAGGAAGACAGUGAGAUUUUUUGAGCUGAGGGCCUAGUUUGAGGCUGGUAGCGGUACCAGCCAGUUGGUGUGUUUCACUAUAGCAAUGUCUAACAUUGUUUGGAUACAGGCACAGGGAAGGUGGCAUUUGUGUUCAUCCAGAUUUAGGGCUUUUCACAGGCAGGCGUGAAAGAGAAAUAGGAAAUUCAGUCAGUAAAAAUAUUUGUCUUGAAUGGGCAAUACUUUGUCUUAGUUCGAAAAUCAAAUACAUAAAAAACCAUACAUUGAAAAAGUUCCUCCCAGGGCUUUGCCUCUCCAUUUCAUUUCCUCUUCCCUACAGGCCCUCACUUUUAUGUUUCCCUUUGCAGUGUUUAUUUAUGCAUCUACAGCAGCCACCACUAUAUUUAUCCAUCCCCCUAAUUCCUUACACAAAAUGCAGUAUACAACGUAUAGUUCUGCACUUUGCUCUUUAAAUUUUACUUAAUACUAUAUCCUUUUGAUCAUAGGAUAUUAACCUAUUAGUUAGUAGUUAAGAACUUUUGAGUCAUCUUAGUGAUGGAUUUACCAAAUUAUUUUUAGCAGUUUUGUUUGGAAUGUAAAAUAAUUUUUUAAAUGCUUUCUUUCAAGUUCUUUCAGUGUGCAUAUGCUACUUUCAUUAUUAGUAAAUUUAAAAAGUUAAACUUGGUUCUUCGAAUCUAUUCUGUGCCACUGCUCUUCUAAGCACUGAGGUGUCUAGUAAAUAAAAUAGGCAGGGUUCUGCUUUCAUGGCCCUUGCAUUUUAGCGUGGGCCAAUAGUCACCAAAUAAAAUAGGCAAUCAUGACGUUAUAUUUGCAGAAAAUUGAAAUAAGAACCAUGGGAUUCCAGGGAAAGCCUCCUCCAAGAGGGGAGCAUUUAGGUUGAUGUCAGUGAUAACAAAGAGCAGAUCAUGAUUAGGGAAGAACAGUGUGCUAGGCGAAGGAGUGAGCUGCUGCCAAAGCCCUAAAGUAAGAUUAAACUUGAUGUUUUCAAGAAACAGAAAUAAGGCCAGUAUGUCUAGAACCUCCUGAGAGGGAGAGUGGUAUGAGAUGAAGCAGAGGUCAGUUCUUAUCUGGUAAUCAGGGAGAAGAAUGAGGAUUUUAAGUGCAAUGGGAAACCAUUGAAGAGUUUUAAGUUAUUAGAAAGAAAACAGAGCUAUAGAAAAGGCUAAAGUUGACAGGUGGGUAGAAAGGGAACCUAGAAAGCCGAGUUAGAGGCAAGUUUCAAGAAACCCUGCAGUGCUUAAUGCAUCAGGUGGGUGCUUAGGUUGAGGACUAGAAAAAAAGUUUUAUUAAUUUGUUUUUAUGGUGCACUCUAAAUGUAAUCACUUCAAACAUAACUCCAAAUUUAAAAGAUAAGUUUUAGAUCAAUAUAUAGUUUGAAUUCCAAAUUGAAGGAAGCAGUUUUUGAAGAUGUGAUUUCAAGUGUGCAUUUAAAAACUAUUUUCUAUUUUAGAAUAAAGAAUUAGCACUUCAUUGUUCACCUCUAGUAUUAUUAUGCUGAUGAUUCAGGAAAUCUAUUGUUUAAAUUGGCGUUGAAACGCAAAUUUUUCUGACUGAUUUAAAAAUCACAUUUAGCAUAAAAAAAAUAAACAACUUGCUGUAAGGAUUUGUCUUUACUACUACAUCCUAAAUGGAGACAUAACUUUGAACGUACUCUUAUAAAUAGGAAAAAGUAAAAUUCUGAUCUUAAGAAUGAGUGAUUGGGUCCUUAACUUUUUGUAAUCUAUAAUUCCUUCAGUUCUGAAAUCCUUAUCGGUCAUUGUUGUACUUUGGAACUACUUUAUAUCAGAAACCAGUGCUGACUUUUGUCAGGGAGAAUAUCUUUUAAAAAGAUCUUCAGAUAUAUCAGCAUUUUUCUUCA